AGUGAACGCUGGCGGUAGGCCUAACACAUGCAAGUCGAACGGCAGCACAGUAAGAGCUUGCUCUUACGGGUGGCGAGUGGCGGACGGGUGAGGAAUACAUCGGAAUCUACUUUUUCGUGGGGGAUAACGUAGGGAAACUUACGCUAAUACCGCAUACGACCUACGGGUGAAAGCAGGGGAUCUUCGGACCUUGCGCGAUUGAAUGAGCCGAUGUCGGAUUAGCUAGUUGGCGGGGUAAAGGCCCACCAAGGCGACGAUCCGUAGCUGGUCUGAGAGGAUGAUCAGCCACACUGGAACUGAGACACGGUCCAGACUCCUACGGGAGGCAGCAGUGGGGAAUAUUGGACAAUGUGCGCAAGCCUGAUCCAGCCAUACCGCGUGGGUGAAGAAGGCCUUCGGGUGGUAAAGCCCUUUUGUUGGGAAAGAAAAGCAGCAGGUUAAUACCCCGCUGUUCUGACGGUACCCAAAGAAUAAGCACCGGCUAACUUCGC
rnacentral:rRNA from 1 species